rnacentral:rRNA from 1 species
UACGAAGGGGGCUAGCGUUGCUCGGAAUCACUGGGCGUAAAGGGUGCGUAGGCGGGUCUUUUAAGUCAGGGGUGAAAUCCUGGAGCUCAACUCCAGAACUGCCUUUGAUACUGAGGAUCUUGAGUACGGGAGAGGUGAGUGGAACUGCGAGUGUAGAGGUGAAAUUCGUAGAUAUUCGCAAGAACACCAGUGGCGAAGGCGGCUCACUGGCCCGUUCUGACGCUGAGGCACGAAAGGCGUGGGGAAGCAAACAG